rnacentral:misc_RNA from 1 species
UAAAAGUUUCAUAACAAGUGCACUUUAUUGUGGCUUAAAAAAACCUUUUUGAUAUAUCAUUAACCCAUCAUAAACCCAAAACUGUCUUGUGUACUUUUGCGAGUAUAGCGUUUCAGUAGUACGCAUCAUGAACUUUAUUGUUCAAGUUGCAUUACCCCCCCUUAUAAGUGACCCCUUUAUUUUUUGAAAUCAUUAAACGUUUUAUGUAAAGUUUUAAGAAUGUAAACAAAUUUUGAAUAUAUAUAACUUUUAACAAUGGAUCUCUUGGCUCU